UCCCCGGUGGUCCAGUGGUUAGGACUUGGCGCUUCCACUGCCGUGGCCUGGGUUCAAUCCCUGGUUGGGGAA